AAGGUGAGAGUAUAUGCAAGGCUAUGGUUGUGUGUGGACAUGCUAUCAUCUAGAAAUGCAAUAAUCAUUUCAGUGAAGCUGAAAUGACCAAUUUGAAACUAUCAUAGUAUUUGUAUUGUGUGAUCAUUACUCCAAGUUCAACUAGAAAGGAAUGUAAUUGCAAUUUGUACUCCAUUAUGAAUAACACUAACCGUCGAUACAGUUCAAUCAUUGCCACCUAAUUGAACUGAACAAUUGCAAUCCAACUCAGGUGUAUUUCAAAAUGCAGCGUAAAAGAUGCAUUUAGAUCAAUGGAUUAUUUCUAGCCUGGUGAACCUGUGAUUAGCUCUGUUUUGAGCUUGUAGAUUAUCUUUGCAUUAAGUCGAUGAAACUCAAUCAGGCCUUGAAAGAUUUGAAUUUUAUUUUGUAUUGUGACUUGAAUAAAAGAUAUGAUGUCAUUGAGAAAACCCAAAAGCCACAACUCAGUUUUUCAUUUUUUUCUUUUUGCAGUGGCUAUAAGUACAUGCCUUAUCAACUUUUGGCUUGCCACGUCACGAUGGAGAUAAAAGAGAAAGAUGGCGAUGAUGUUAAGAUGCAAGGACAAGGAAACAAGUGUACAUGGCUAUGGAACUUGACUAGAAAGUAGGUGGUAAGGAAGUUGUCGAAAUAGGAAGAAGACGAUGAUUUUUUGUACAUUUGUUUAUUAUGUUAAACUUAUAUGUAUUUAUGCGUGAAUGAGUGUGAUGCGGAUAAGAUUGUUUGUGUU